rnacentral:misc_RNA from 1 species
GAUGAAUAACGCAUCGAAAUGCGAUAAGUAAUGUGAAUUGCAGAAUUCAGUGAAUCAUCGAAUCUUUGAACGCACAUUGCGCCCCCUGGUAUUCCGGGGGGCAUGCCUGUCCGAGCGUCAUUACAACCCUCAAGCUCAGCUUGGUGUUGGGCCCCGCCGCCCCGGCGGGCCCUAAAGUCAGUGGCGGUGCCGUCCGGCUCCGAGCGUAGUAAUUCUUCUCGCUCUGGAGGUCCGGUCGUGUGCUCGCCAGCAACCCCCAAUUUUUUUCAGGUUGACCUCGGAUCAGGUAGGGAUACCCGCUGAACUUAAGCAUAUCAAUAAGCGGAGGA